rnacentral:tRNA from 2 species
GGGCCCGUAGUUCAGCUGGCUAGAACGCUUGCAUGGCAUGCAAGAGGUCACCGGUUCAAGUCCGGUCGGGUCCACCA